rnacentral:rRNA from 1 species
AGAGCGAACGCUGGCGGCGUGCUUAACACAUGCAAGUCGAGUGCGCGUCCCGCAGCAAUGCGGGAUGGCGCACGGCGCACGGGUGCGUAACACGUGGGUAAUCUGCCCUUCGAUGGGGAAUAACCUCGCGAAAGCGAGGCUAAUUCCGCAUAACAUUCCGAUGAUCUAGGUCAAUGGAUUCAAAGCCGUAAGGCGUCGGAGGAGGAGCCCGCGCACGAUUAGCUAGUUGGUGAGGUAACGGCUCACCAAGGCUAUGAUCGUUAGC